GGGGGUGUAAAGGCUUCGACGGGUAUAGGUGUCGUAGGAUAAGCGAGCCGUGGUUCCAUCUGCACGUUAAUCGGUGGAACGUUUAAAUUUAAACGCAGAUAACAAUUUUGCACUGGCUGCCUAAUUUUAGGUAACCCGUCCUUCCACUCCGGCUCCCGCAGGAGCGGACAGGGCGACAUUUAGCGGGAUCGCCGGGUACCGAGGUUCGUAAGUCCCGGUUAAAUCUACGGACUGGCGGCGGCCGGGCCGGUCGGCAGGCGCGGCGGCCGUGAGACAUCGUAUGCUGUCUGCGCUCGGAGAAAUUCCUAUGGCAAUAUGUUCGGACAAGGGUUCGACUCCCUUCACCUCCACCA
rnacentral:tmRNA from 1 species